UACGAAGGGGGCUAGCGUUGUUCGGAAUCACUGGGCGUAAAGGGCGCGUAGGCGGCCUGAUAAGUCGGGGGUGAAAGCCUGUGGCUCAACCACAGAAUUGCCUUCGAUACUGUUAGGCUUGAGACCGGAAGAGGUAAGUGGAACUGCGAGUGUAGAGGUGAAAUUCGUAGAUAUUCGCAAGAACACCAGUGGCGAAGGCGGCCUACUGGUCCGGUUCUGACGCUGAGGCGCGAAAGCGUGGGGAGCAAACAGG
rnacentral:rRNA from 1 species